UACGUAGGUGGCGAGCGUUUGUCCGGAUUUACUGGGCGUAAAGGGCGUGCAGGCGGUCUGCUAAGUCUAGGGUGAAAGCUCCCGGCUCAACUGGGAGAGGUCCUUGGAUACUGACAGACUUGAGGGAGGCAGAGGAGAAUGGAAUUCCCGGUGUAGUGGUGAUAUGCGUAGAUAUCGGGAGGAACACCAGUGGCGAAGGCGGUUCUCUGGGACGGUACUGACGCUGAGACGCGAAAGCGUGGGGAGCGAACAGG
rnacentral:rRNA from 1 species